rnacentral:rRNA from 1 species
AGUGAACGCUGGCGGCAGGCCUAACACAUGCAAGUCGAGCGGAAGAAGGGAGCGUGCUCGUGGAUACAGCUGCGGACGGGCGAGUGAUGCCGAGGAACCUGGCUGGUUGCUUGUGCGAACGGCCGAAAACGGGCGCAAAUACGCUAUUCGUGCAGAGGGCGAACGGGGGGGAUCAUGGGACCUUCGGCCAUCAGAUGAGCCGAUGUCGGAUUAGCUAGUUGGUGGGGUAAAGGCCUACCAAGGCGACGAUCCGUAGCUGGUCUGAGAGGAUGAUCAGCCACACUGGAACUGAGACACGGUCCAGACUCCUACGGGAGGCAGCAGUGGGGAAUAUUGGACAAUGGGCGCAAGCCUGAUCCAGCCAUGCCGCGUGUGUGAAGAAGGUCUUCGGAUUGUAAAGCCCUUUUAGUUGGGAAGAAGAGCAGUAAGUUAAUACCUUGCUGUUUUGACGUUACCAACAGAAUAAGCACCGGCUAACUUCGUG